AUGCCAGAAGCUACGGAAGAAGCUAGAAUUAUAACCACAAGUUAUGACCGAGAGCCCGGGCGACGUCUUCAAAUUUGGGAACUUCCUCCUGACGAGUAUGGUGCUGUUAGGCGUUUUUAUAUAUCUAAAGGGGCUUAUCAACCAAUCUUAAAGCCAGAUGAGACAGGGGCUGGCCGUAGGCGAUUCCAAAGUGAUUGGUUCACAAAUCAUUUCUGGUUGGAGUAUUCACCUCUAAAAAAUCGUGCCUAUUGUUUGCCUUGUUUUCUCUUCUCAAAGAAGCCAAUUGGGAAGUGUGGUUCAGACACAAUCACAGUCACCGAAUUUGAUAAGUGGAAGAAAGUUAACAAUGGAAAAGAAUGUGCUUUUCUUAAACAUAUGGUCACUACUCCUAGUUCGGCUCGCAAUUUUGCAGUUCGGUGUUAUGAAAACUUGAGAAACAUAAUUAAUCAUGUUGAUGAGGUGAUGAAAAAGCAAACUAAGAAGCAGGUUCUUGAUGCAAGACUAAGGCUAAAGACUUCCAUUGAUGCCAUGAGGUGGCUAAUGUUCCAAGCAUGCCCCUUUAGAGGAAAUGAUGAGUCUGAGGAUUCCAAGAACCAAGGUAAUUUCAAGGAAAUGAUUAAGCUUUUGGCUUCUUAUAACAAGGAUGUACAUGAAGUUGUACAGAAUGCUCCAAAAAAUGCAAAGUACACCUCACCAACUAUUCAAAAGGAAAUUGCUAGCAUAUUUGCUGAAAAAGUGAAGACCUCAAUUGAAUAACUUGGUAAUAGCAAAUUUUCUAUCUUGGUUGAUGAAUGUAGAGAUGAGUCUAAAAAAGAGCAGAUGGCAGUAGUUCUUCGAUUUGCAAACAUAGAAGGGGUGAUAAGAUAACAUUUUCUUGAUCUUGUUCAUGUUAGAGACGUGCUAGCUUUGACUCUCAAGAACACAAUUAUUGCCGUCCUAGUUGAUAAUGGGUUGAAUGUGCAAGAUAUUAGAGGCCAGGGAUAUGAUGGGGCAAGCAACAUGGGGGAGUGGAAUGGGCUGAAAGCUCUAAUUCUCAAAGAGUGCCCUUAUGCAUACUAUAUCCAUUGUCUUGCACAUCAACUCCAAUUGGCUCUUAUUGCUACUUCAAGGGAGGUACAUGAGGUCCAUAAUUUUUUUCAGCAUGCAAAUUUCAUUGUUAAUACAGUUAGUGCAUCUCCCAAACGCAAUGAUGAGCUAUUAGAAAAUCAGGCUGCUAAAAUUGCUAUGCUAAGAAGUGUAGGAGCUGAUCAUUCACCUACAAGGAACUCAAGUGGUGAUGCUGGAGGUGCCCUGAAAAUCCUACUCACAUUUGAUUUUGUGUUCAUUCUACACUUAAUGGAAAUAAUCAUGAAAAUCACGGAUGUCUCAUGUCUCAAACUUCAACAUAAAUCUUUGGACAUUGCAAAUGCAUUAGAUUGUGUUUAUAACACAAAGGUGUUGCUUGAUGAACUAAGAGAAGAUGGAUGGGACAUCCUUUUUGAAGAUGUGAAAUCCUUUUGUGUGAAACAUGAGAUUGACAUCCCGUACAUGGAUCAAAACAUGACAACAGUUAUCCAUCAUUACAAAGUAGAUGUGUUUAAUGUUGCAGUAGAUCAACAAGUGACAGAGUUGACCGAUCAAUUCAGUUCUCAAGUUACUGAGCUUCUAGAUCUUUGUUCAUCAUUGUCUUCUGACUAUCCAAUGGUUGAUAUGUUGUUACGAUUGGUGAUAACUCUCCCGGUGUCAACUGCAAUAGCAGAGCGAGCCUUUUCUGCAAUGAAACUAGUCAAGACGCGGGUUCGAAGCAAAAUGGGAGAUGAUUUUCUUUGCCAUUGCACGCUAGUUUACAUUGAGAAGGAACUUGCAGCCAAGUUUAGCUCUGAAGAAAUAAUCAAUAUCUUCGAUACUGGUGCUCGUAAAGCAUAA
rnacentral:rRNA from 1 species